rnacentral:sRNA from 1 species
UGCAUCUGAAGCCUGACGAAGAUGAGAACCUCCGGGGGCAAGAGGUUCGACUCGAGCGCAGCGAGAGAACGUUGCGUCAGCAACGGCCCGCAGGGCGAGCCACGCAGUGGCGAGUCAUCCUCUAUCACCGGCAG